GACGAACGCUGGCGGCGUGCCUAUACAUGCAAGUCGAGCGCAGGAAACUGACGGAACUCUUCGGAGGGAAGGCAGUGGAAUGAGCGGCGGACGGGUGAGUAACACGUAAGGAACCUGCCUCAAGGAUUGGGAUAACUCCGAGAAAUCGGAGCUAAUACCGGAUAGUUCAACGGACCGCAUGGUCCGCUGAUGAAAGGCGCUUCGGCGUCACCUUGAGAUGGCCUUGCGGUGCAUUAGCUAGUUGGUGGGGUAACGGCCCACCAAGGCGACGAUGCAUAGCCGACCUGAGAGGGUGAUCGGCCACACUGGGACUGAGACACGGCCCAGACUCCUACGGGAGGCAGCAGUAGGGAAUCUUCCACAAUGGACGAAAGUCUGAUGGAGCAACGCCGCGUGAGUGAUGAAGGUUUUCGGAUCGUAAAACUCUGUUGUAAGGGAAGAACACGUACGAGAGGAAAUGCUCGUACCUUGACGGUACCUUACGAGAAAGCCACGGCUAACUACGUGUCAGCAGCCGCAGUAA
rnacentral:rRNA from 1 species